CCAGUCAUGCUAUGGAUUUGCUGUAUGUGUUGUGCACCUACAUGCACACAUGGAUGACUGACAGAUCUAGCCUUCCCGUUCUCCCCUGGGUGUUGAGGAAACUUUCAGGCUGAUUCGUCUGCUGGUGUUUGAAGCCAUCGGGCCCUCGUUCCCAUCGCCGGGCUUCAAAGACGAUCUCGCCACAGAUGCACCGUUAACCUGGAGAUUUAAACAAGGUCUUUGCAAGUUCUUCUUAUAUCUAAAACAUCUAUCAGCAUGUGAUACAUUGCACCAGGGUAUUUGUGACCUUUUCUCUGGAGAUGAAAGGCCCAUCGCACGCUUUCAUCUAAAGUAGCGGCGCUCUCAAGAUUUGAAGCCACUGUCGCGUCGUAUUUUUGAGUCUCCGGACAGGCGAGUGACGUCCUAACAUCUCGACUUUAAAGCCAAAUGAAAAUGUCACUCAUAGGAGCAAUUGCUGUCCAUAACGUUUCCAUAAAUGUCACUGCAGAGAAAGGGGGAAAAUAAUGGAGGAUAAUUAAUGGACUUGGAUUAAUAAUAUCCUUUCUGCAUUUUAUUCACUAGAUAUUUACAUGAGUGGCACUUUCAGACUGUGCAAAACCUGCUGACAUGACGUUUUUGAAGUCUCUUCUGCUCAUCAGGGCUAUUUAUUUGAUCAAAAAUACAGCAAAAAUAGUGAAAUAUUAUUAUAAUUUUAAACAGCUGUUUUCUAUGUGAAUAUAUAGUAAAGUGUAAUUUAUUCCUGUGAUCAAAGCUGAAUUUUCAGCAUCAUUACUCCAGUCUUCAGUGUCACAUGAUCCUUCAGAAAUCACUCAAAUAUGAGGAUC